UACGAAGGGGGCUAGCGUUGUUCGGAUUUACUGGGCGUAAAGCGCACGUAGGCGGAUCGUUAAGUCGGGGGUGAAAUCCUGGAGCUCAACUCCAGAACUGCCUUCGAUACUGGCGAUCUAGAGUCCGGAAGAGGUGAGUGGAACUCCUAGUGUAGAGGUGGAAUUCGUAGAUAUUAGGAAGAACACCAGUGGCGAAGGCGGCUCGCUGGUCCGGUACUGACGCUGAGGUGCGAAGGCGUGGGGAGCAAACAGG
rnacentral:rRNA from 1 species